ensembl:lncRNA
ACCUCACAUAAUUCCCAGUUAUUAUUAUUAUUUUUGGUACCGGGAUCAAACUUGGGUCCUUGGGCUUGCAAGGCAGGCAGCGGAACCAUUGAGCUAAAUCCCCGGCCCUCCUAGUUAUUUUCUUUGGUGGAUUUUAGGAGACUAUGGUGCUUCAAGGCAUGGAUUCUGGAGCUGGACUUCCCAACCCUGCCUGGCACUGCCCCUUCCAGCUGUGGGACAGUGGUGACUUUGAGUAAGUGACAAAGGGCUGUGCCUCAGUUUCUGACAGUGUGGGAAAGCACAGCCCAGGAGCCCUGGGCACCCGGAGAGGGCUCUGUGAGGGGACUCACUGCCUGCUUGCCUGGUCUCCCUCCAUGGACACCACUGGUCGGGAACAUCAGCCGCUCCAUCUUUAAGCAUUUGUGGAGGAGGAAACCAAGGCCACAGUGAGUCACUGGGGCCUCACAGCCGGCAGAAACCCUGAGCACCCUAUUCCCAGCCCAGUCCCCAGCAUGCCGUACUGAGGCCAAAGCUCAGCCCCCUGGCCAUGACCCCUGCUGAGGUACCUGGCUGUGUCCCAGGCCCCUGGAUGGGGUCAGGCCGGGAGCCCUUGCUUUGUGGUUGAACUGGGGAGUCCCUGAGCGGGUGACUCUGCAAACAGAGUGGCUGUUUCCAUGAGAGGGCCUCACACCCAGGACCUUCCUCCAAGGGGAUGGACUUGCUGUCACUUCAGGGAGCCCCAGGCAUAUGUCCUGAGCUAAGCCUCCACCAGCUAAACUUCGGAAAGUAUUCGAAGCACGCAGCCAGGAAUGUGCAGCUCCCAGCGCCAGCCUGGAAGCGGCCUGCCCGCCUGCCCUGUGAUUCCUCUCCUCUCACUCUGCUCGCUCUUGACCCGGACUCCUGCAGCUCCAGUUCCCAUGGUCACAGGAGAGACUGGAGAGCAGCGCUGGAAGUCCAAGGUCAAGGUGCAGGCAGACUCAGCGACUGCGCCAGCUGCUUCCUCGAAGACAGCUGUCUUCUCUCGAUGGCUGGACUUGUCAGAGGGGCAGGGGUCUGUCCUGGCCUUUUUUGUUUGUUGGUUGGUUUGUUGGUUUGUUUGUUUGAGGCAGGGUCUUGCUAUGGGCCUGGCUGGCCUCACACUGGAGGAGAUCCUCCUGCCUCAGCCUCCUGAGUGCUGAGAUAACAGGUGUCCAGCGCCAUGUACCCCCCACCGAAUACUGGGGAUCUAACUCAGGACCUUCCACGUUCGAAGCAGGCGAAGUGCCACUGAGCUAAGUCCCCAGUCCCUCUGAUCUCUUAUAGGAGCACAAAUCCUAGUUCUGAGAGCUUCACGGUGGCAACCUAAGCACCUCCCAAAGCUCCUCCUCUCACCAUGACCUUGGGGAUUAAGGUUCACCGUGUGAAUUAAAAGGAGUGUCACAAACCUGACUUCCAAACCCUCCUCUAAGUGUCCCCUGCUCUGGAACCCACAGGUCCAGGAGGUCCCUAGCCCACGGUGAACGCUUAAACCAGAGAGCUCCACGGGAUUUUGGCUUCCAAGGUUCCAAGGCUUCAGCGCCUUGGCAUUUGAUAGGUGCUGAGCGUGCAUUAUCAAGUAAAUAAAACAAUAGGUGCUUACUUUUCCUAGGAAGUAGAGGAUGUGAUGGCCCCCUGCCAAGGGUGGCCCUCCUGUGCACCUCGGACCAGGCCAUCCACCUGACACCCCAGCCGCAGCCAGGGUGGAAGCUCUGCUCGGUGGCCUGGGACCCGGUGGGACAGAGGGCUCCCGCUGGCCUGGUGCGUGGCUCCUCAGCCUUCAUUCACACGAAAUGCGAUCCCAUCACUCAAGCCGGGCGCCUGGCCUUGGCCGGCUCAG